AAUAGAUACCCAGGUAGUCCACGCCGUAAACGAUGAGUGCUAAGUGUUAGGGGGUUUCCGCCCCUUAGUGCUGCAGCUAACGCAUUAAGCACUCCGCCUGGGGAGUACGGUCGCAAGACUGAAACUCAAAGGAAUUGACGGGGGCCCGCGACAAGCGGUGGAGCAUGUGGUUUAAUUCGAAGCAACGCGAAGAACCUUACCAGGUCUUGACAUCCCGCUGACCGCUAUGGAGACAUAGCUUUCCCUUCGGGGACAGCGGUGACAGGUGGUGCAUGGUUGCCGUCAGCUCGUGUCGUGAGAUGUUGGGUUAAGUCCCGCAACGAGCGCAACCCUUGUUCUUAGUUGCCAUCAUUAAGUUGGGCACUCUAAGGAGACUGCCGGUGAUAAACCGGAGGAAGGUGGGGAUGACGUCAAAUCAUCAUGCCCCUUAUGACCUGGGCUACACACGUGCUACAAUGGACGGUACAAACGGUUGCGAAGUCGCGAGACGGAGCCAAUCCGAGAAAACCGUUCUCAGUUCGGAUUGUAGG
rnacentral:rRNA from 1 species